rnacentral:lncRNA from 1 species
GCCAGAAUGUUCCUUGCUGCAGAUGCAUUGGCCCCAUCUGCAGGUCCUCUUUGACACCUACCUUACUCUCUCCCUCCACUCACACUCUGAGAACUGUGCUCAGGGGCAGCGCUACAACUUCCACAUUGGUCUUUACAGGGCUUGAGUGAUUAUUUCAAGAACAGAACGCUGUGUGGAAACCUUUACCAUAUUUCGUUGUAUCUAAGACACAUUUUUUUUUUUUGAAAUUUAACAUCUCUAAGGUUGGGUUAUGUUUCUUCAUCAUUGUCAGGUUGGAGCUUAAUCAGCAGCACUUUUUUUUAAUGUCACACACAGUAAUGGUGAUGCAUCUCACAAUUGAGAUCAUCUUAGACAUGAUGGAAUAUGGAAUCGUGUGCCUGUUACAAGCCAGGCUCUUGUCUGGGUUCUAGAGACGGUGGAAACCAAGACAGCACCAUCCUCUAGUGGUGUUCACAUCCCACCACAGUGGAGUCAGGACUUUGAAGUCCUCCAUUGGAUCUUCUCGGAAGAUGAGGGAAAUGAGAGAGUGUGGAGAGAGAUUUUGUAAGUCCGGUCUGGAAGUGGUCAUUGUUCAGAAUCCAGCCACGUGGGUACAUGGAACUGUAAGGCUAUUUCAACAUGGGAAACUGAAAUCGGGCAUAUCCCUGCGGAAGAAGGUAUGUGAGACACCAACCAGAGUUCGUAAUUCUAAUGACCUCUCCAGAUUUAUGGCUGCAGCAUUCCCAAGAAGGGGUAGGGAGGGGCAUAUAAUGAGCUACCCUCAGGGGAUCAGAAAGAAAAGGGAAGCUGUCUCUUAGCGAAGAAUAAAACUGUGGACUGACCCCCACCCAUUUGCGAAGAAAGUACUGGGUCUUCAGCUUUCAUUGUUCAGCCGGUGGUCUUUGUGGACAACACCAGGGGCCCCUCCUGCUGAAGACUGUCUGGACUUCCUGAUUUUCACUCCUGUAUAAACCCCCUCCCCCAUUACUACCUUUGUCUCCUUGGGGAAAAAAAAUGUUUUUCACUUAAGCAAAAUAAUAACUACCCAGUAUUUGUUUCUGGAGUGAAAUUGUAAACUUCAUUGUACAUUCUUCCUGGCUUUGAUGCUUAUCGUGAAGAGUUCAGUGAAAAUAAAUUGUUUUUAUGAAAGCAGAGAAACCAUUUGAUAAACACGCUGUCUCUGAAAAUCGUUCCUGCAAAAGAGGUCAUUCUUUCACUUUAAAAGAAAUAGAAUAUAUUUCAGAAAACAGGCAGGACAACAUACAAAUUUUUUUUUAAGGC